rnacentral:rRNA from 1 species
AGCAGCCGCGGUAAUUCCAGCUCCAAUAGCGUAUAUUAAAGUUGUUGCAGUUAAAAAGCUCGUAGUUGAAUUUCGGGACCAAUUUGUUGGUCGUGCCUCGGUACGUACUGGUAUUAUUGGUUUCUCCCUUCUGAAGAACCUCGAUGCCAUUAAUUUGGUGUCGUGGGGAAUCAGGACUGUUACUCUGAAAAAUUAGAGUGUUUAAAGCAAGCAUACGCUUGAAUACAUUAGCAUGGAAUAAUGAAAUAGGACGUUUGAUUCUAUUUUGUUGGUUUCUAGGAUCGACGUAAUGAUUAAUAGGGAUAGUUGGGGGCAUUAGUAUUCAAUUGUCAGAGGUGAAAUUCUUGGAUUUAUUGAAGACUAACUACUGCGAAAGCAUUUGCCAAGGAUGUUUUCAUUAAUCAAGAACGAAAGUUAGGGGAUCGAAGACGAUCAGAUACCGUCGUAGUCUUAACCAUAAACUAUGCCGACUAGGGAUCGGAUGAUGUAAUUUUU